UCAAUUCCCCAAUUCUCCCCUCCAAACCCUCCCGACCUCUCCACCCUCCCGCUGAUCCGAUCCGAUCCGCUCCUCUCCUCGACCCAUCCCCCGCACGGAACGAGCGAUGGCGAGGGGCGAGAACAGCGAGUCGCACGGCAGCGGCAACGUCCCGGCGGCCCCCGCACCAGGGGCAGCGUCAGCGUCCUCGGGGAAGCAGGCGCCGGCGGCUGCGCGUGGCGCGGACGGGCAGUCGGUGGUGCGGCGGCUGCAGUCGGAGCUGAUGGCGCUGAUGAUGGGCGGCGACCCCGGGGUGUCGGCGUUCCCGGAGGGGGACAACAUCUUCCAGUGGGUCGGCACCAUCGACGGAUCCGCCGCCACCGCGUACGAGGGCACCUCCUACCGCCUCGCGCUCGCCUUCCCCAGCGACUACCCCUACAAGCCGCCCAAGGUGCGGUUCGAGACCCCCUGCUUCCACCCCAACGUCGACAACCACGGCAACAUCUGCCUCGACAUCCUCCAGGACAAGUGGUCCUCCGCCUACGACGUCCGCACCAUCCUCCUCUCCAUCCAGAGCCUGCUCGGAGAGCCGAACAACGACUCCCCCCUGAACACACAGGCGGCCGCGCUCUGGGCGAAUCAAGAAGAGUUCAGGAAGAUGGUGGAGAAGCUCUACAAGCCGGCGUAAAGAGGAACAAGGCGGGAUCUAUUGGAAUGGCGGCUCCACAUUGGCGUCGAUUGAUCGAAUCUGGUGUUGGAUAGAUUCUGGAGUGUUGUUUCUCAUGUUGGCGUCGAUUGAUCCAACAGCUGGAGCUUCGAUUGCUCGGGUAUAAUGCUAGGCCGGCGGUACAAGCUGCAGUGGUGGUCAGCAACGUGCAAGACAAGCCUGACGACUGAACCGAGAGACGCAAAUAGGAACCUGAAUUAAAGCGGGUUCGGUCAUAAGUUUUGUUGGUGUAUUCUGAAAAAACAUCAAACUGCAGGCAAAAGUUGUGGCGAAUGAUUAAUUAUACAAUAAAAACGAGGACGAACCCUCCAAGCGCUUGGAAACUUGGUGCAAAUCAUCCAAUCUCCCCAGCAAAUGUACACACAUAUGAAGGACAGUUCUGCCAACAGUCCCAGUUUCAGUCAUGUACAUCCAGAGCUCAAAAUAUGAUGUCAGGACUAUCAUCGGCCUCGCCUGAUGAGACUGGAUAUCGGCUCAAAGAAUACAGGGCAAAUUGCCUUGCUAAACCUUAUGUCCUGCACUCUCAUCCACUUUAAAGCGAUUUUCUCCA